rnacentral:rRNA from 1 species
AGUGAACGCUGGCGGUAGGCCUAACACAUGCAAGUCGAACGGCCGCACAGUAAGAGCUUGCUCUUACGGGUGGCGAGUGGCGGACGGGUGAGGAAUACAUCGGCAUCUACUUUUUCGUGGGGGAUAACGUAGGGAAACUUACGCUAAUACCGCAUACGAUCUACGGGUGAAAGCAGGGGAGCUUCGGACCUUGCGCGACUGAAUGAGCCGAUGUCGCAUUAGCUAGUUGGCGUGGUAAAGGCCCACCAAGGCGACGAUCCGUAGCUGGUCUGAGAGGAUGAUCAGCCACACUGGAACUGAGACACGGUCCAGACUCCUACGGGAGGCAGCAGUGGGGAAUAUUGGACAAUGGGCGCAAGCCUGAUCCAGCCAUACCGCGUGGGUGAAGAAGGCCUUCGGGUUGUAAAGCCCUUUUGUUGGGAAAGAAAAGCAGCAGGUUAAUACCCCGCUGUUCUGACGGUACCCAAAGAAUAAGCACCGGCUAACUUCGUG